AUGCAGUUCCUCCCAGAGUGUUCCUCUCCAGCUACCAGGCCUUUCGAUGGAUGCUACUCUGCGCAGGGAAGUCAUUCAUUUGUCAUGCCAUGGAAGUAUCGUUUGAAGUUUCCUUGCUGUCAAGACUUUUUUUUCAACAUAUAUGAGGUGGCAAGCAAAGUUAUGGUAACUGCAGUUCAUGUCAGGUAUAAUGUGAAACGUAGGUCCAUCAUCUCAUCAUCCUUUACGCCCUUUCUUUCCCUAAUAUUUUACAGCAAACCAACGGAUCAGCUAACCACAACCUUAGUAUGUGGUAUACUGCGUAAAUAUCUAGCUUGGUAG
rnacentral:rRNA from 1 species